rnacentral:rRNA from 1 species
UACGAGGGGGGCAAAUGUUGUUCGGAAUCACUGGGCGUAAAGGGAGCGUAGGCGGGUUUUUAAGUCAGGUGUUUAAUCCCGGGGCCCAACCCCGGACCGGCACUUGAAACUGGGAAUCUUGAAUAGGGGAGAGGUCAGUGGAAUUGGAGGUGUAGCGGUGGAAUGCGUAGAUAUCAGGAGGAACACCUGUGGCGAAAGCGGCUCACUGGACCAUAACUGACGCUGAUGCACGAAAGCUAGGGGAGCAAACAGG